UACGUAGGGUGCGAGCGUUGUCCGGAAUUAUUGGGCGUAAAGGGCGCGUAGGCGAUUUGAAAAGUCUUGUGUGAAAGCCCCGAGCUUAACUCGGGAAGUGCACAAGAAACUGUUGAAUUUGAGUUCCGGAGAGGAAGGCAGAAUUCCCGGUGUAGCGGUGAAAUGCGCAGAUAUCGGGAAGAACACCCGUGGCGAAGGCGGCUCUCUGGGACGGUACUGACGCUGAGACGCGAAAGCGUGGGGAGCGAACAGG
rnacentral:rRNA from 1 species